GACGAACGCUGGCGGCGUGCUUAACACAUGCAAGUCGAACGGUGAAGGUGGGAGCUUGCUCCUGCUGGAUCAGUGGCGAACGGGUGAGUAACACGUGAGUAACCUGCCCUUGACUCUGGGAUAAGCGUUGGAAACGACGUCUAAUACCGGAUACGAGCUUCAGCCGCAUGGCUAGGAGUUGGAAAGAUUUUUCGGUCAAGGAUGGACUCGCGGCCUAUCAGCUUGUUGGUGAGGUAAUGGCUCACCAAGGCGACGACGGGUAGCCGGCCUGAGGGGCUGACCGGCCACACUGGGACUGAGACACGGCCCAGACUCCUACGGAAGGCAGCAGUGGGGAAUAUUGCACAAUGGGCGAAAGCCUGAUGCAGCAACGCCGCGUGAGGGACGACGGCCUUCGGGUUGUAAACCUCUUUUAGCAGGGAAGAAGCGCAAGUGACGGUACCUGCAGAAAAAGCACCGGCUAACUACGUGCCAGCAGCCGCAGUAACAC
rnacentral:rRNA from 1 species